rnacentral:rRNA from 1 species
GAGUUUGAUCAUGGCUCAGGAUGAACGCUGGCGGCGUGCCUAAUACAUGCAAGUCGAGCGAACGGACGAGAAGCUUGCUUCUCUGAUGUUAGCGGCGGACGGGUGAGUAACACGUGGAUAACCUACCUAUAAGACUGGGAUAACUUCGGGAAACCGGAGCUAAUACCGGAUAAUAUUUUGAACCGCAUGGUUCAAAAGUAAAAGACGGUCUUGCUGUCACUUAUAGAUGGAUCCGCGCUGCAUUAGCUAGUUGGUAAGGUAACGGCUUACCAAGGCAACGAUGCAUAGCCGACCUGAGAGGGUGAUCGGCCACACUGGAACUGAGACACGGUCCAGACUCCUACGGGAGGCAGCAGUAGGGAAUCUUCCGCAAUGGGCGAAAAGCCUGACGGAGCAACGCCGCGUGAGUGAUGAAGGUCUUCGGAUCGUAAAACUCUGUUAUUAGGGAAGAACAUAUGUGUAAGUAACUGUGCACAUCUUGACGGUACCUAAUCAGAAAGCCACGGCUAACUACGUCG